UCUCUGGUAGUAUAUCGGAUAGUACACCCGCCUGUCAUCUCGUUUCCGUGGUGCGCGGGAGAGCGGGGUUCGACUCCCCGCCAGAGAG